CCUACGGGAGGCAGCAGUGAGGAAUAUUGCGCAAUGGCCGAAAGGCUGACGCAGCGACGCCGCGUGAAGGAUGAAGUCCGUUAGGACGUAAACUUCUUUUGCAGGGGAUGAAUGUUCCCGAUUUAUCGGGAAUUGACCGUACCCUGCGAAUAAGGAUCGGCCAACUACGUGCCAGCAGCCGCGGUAAUACGUAGGAUCCGAGCGUUGUCCGGAAUUACUGGGUGUAAAGGGCGUGUAGGUGGGUCUCUAAGUCGGGGGUGAAAUCCUGGAGCUUAACUCCAGAAUUGCUUCCGAUACUGGAGGUCUUGAGUACGGCAGAGGGAGAUGGAAUUCAUGGUGUAGCGGUGAAAUGUGUAGAUAUCAUGAAGAACACCGGUAGCGAAGGCGGUCUCCUGGUCCGUUACUGACACUGAGGCGCGAAAGCGUGGGGAGCAAACAGGAUUAGAUACCCUGGUAGUCCACGCCUUAAACGAUGGGUACUCGGUGCUGGGCCGCAAGGUUCAGUGCCAAAGCUAACGCAUUAAGUACCCCACCUGGGGAGUACGAUCGCAAGGUUGAAACUCAAAGGAAUUGACGG
rnacentral:rRNA from 1 species